GGGAAACAGGGCCAGGGAGUCUCGGUGGUCGCUGACCUGGCAGGUUAUCAUCCACUUCCCAGGAUUCUCGGCUAUCAUUUCUGUUGUGCCAGGACACAGAUUCUCCAACACACAUAUCAGGCUCCGGGAAGUUUCCGAAGAGGUAUCCAUUGAGGGCUGGAAACAGAAACACGCUAGUGGAAGAGACUCCCCUGCAGAGGCGACUGGGACCAGAAAUGUUGAGAAAACACUCAAUAAAAGUGAAGAUCAGCAUACACUGAGAACAGCCUCGGAGCUGCUGUGGGAACGCAAUAUGAGGUCAGGAGAAAACAGAGUGCUGCUCAUAUUUACAGGAGGCUCAGUCACCUUCUGUCAUAAUCCUUCACUGGCAUAUCUGCUGUCUUCACCAGAUUCUGUGCUCCUUGGAACUAGAAACCCUGUCUUGUUCAUCUUAACAGUUAUCAGGACCUAGCAGAAAAACUGGCACAUAGUAUCUACUUAAUGAAGUGACAAAAGCAUGUAGUAAGAUGGAAAGAAAAGGAAUUGAUUAAAAGGAAUUUAUGAGAACUGUUUUGUUUGUUUGUUUGUUUACUUUAAAAAGCCAAGAGAAAAACAGUUUUUACUACAUGUUGCUGGAGCAGAAUCUUAUUAAGUUUAUGGCGUAAAUCCAGGACCGAAUACUUUAAAACCAUCUA
rnacentral:lncRNA from 1 species